rnacentral:tRNA from 1 species
UGUAUAAUAUAAAAAGUAUAUUUAACUUCCAAUUAAAAAGUCUAAAAAUAGUACAAGUA